ACUCCUACGGGAGGCAGCAGUGGGGAAUAUUGGACAAUGGGCGAAAGACCUGAUCCAGCCAUGCCGCGUGUGUGAAGAAGGUCUUCGGAUUGUAAAGCACUUUAAGUUGGGAGGAAGGGCAGUUACCUAAUACGUAAUUGUUUUGACGUUACCGACAGAAUAAGCACCGGCUAACUCUGUGCCAGCAGCCGCGGUAAUACAGAGGGGUGCAAGCGUUAAUCGGAAUUACUGGGCGUAAAGCGCGCGUAGGUGGUUUGUUAAGUUGGAUGUGAAAUCCCCGGGGCUCAACCUGGGAACUGCAUUCAAAACUGACUGACUAGAGUAUGGUAGAGGGUGGUGGAAUUUCCUGUGUAGCGGUGAAAUGCGUAGAUAUAGGAAGGAACACCAGUGGCGAAGGCGACCACCUGGACUAAUACUGACACUGAGGUGCGAAAGCGUGGGGAGCAAACAGGAUUAGAUACCCCUGGUAGGAUAGCG
rnacentral:rRNA from 1 species